CCUACGGGCGGCAGCAGUGGGGAAUAUUGGGCAAUGGAGGCAACUCUGACCCAGCAACGCCGCGUGAAUGAUGAAGGUCUUCGGAUUGUAAACUCCUUUUGUGAGAGAAGAUAAUGACGGUAUCUCACGAAUAAGCACCGGCUAACUCCGUGCCAGCAGCCGCGGUAAUACGGAGGGUGCAAGCGUUACUCGGAAUCACUGGGCGUAAAGAGUGCGCAGGCGGGUUUGUAAGUCAGAUGUGAAAUCCUGUAGCUUAACUACAGAACUGCAUUUGAAACUAUGAGUCUAGAGUGUGGGAGAGGUAGGUGGAAUUCUUGGUGUAGGGGUAAAAUCCGUAGAUAUCAAGAGGAAUACUCAUUGCGAAGGCGACCUACUGGAACAUUACUGACGCUCAUGCACGAAAGCGUGGGGAGCAAACAGGAUUAGAUACCCGAGUAGUC
rnacentral:rRNA from 1 species